GUCCACGCCCUAAACGAUGUCGACUAGUCGUUCGGAGCAGCAAUGCACUGAGUGACGCAGCUAACGCGUGAAGUCGACCGCCUGGGGAGUACGGCCGCAAGGUUAAAACUCAAAGGAAUUGACGGGGACCCGCACAAGCGGUGGAUGAUGUGGAUUAAUUCGAUGCAACGCGAAAAACCUUACCUACCCUUGACAUGCCAGGAACCUUGCUGAGAGGCGAGGGUGCCUUCGGGAGCCUGGACACAGGUGCUGCAUGGCUGUCGU
rnacentral:rRNA from 1 species